rnacentral:lncRNA from 1 species
GUUGGUGUAAAGCUUAAUUAUUAUUAUUAUUAUUAUUAUUAUUAUUAUUGUGGAAAACUUUAAAAAAUUUUAUGUAGUUUCGCAUUUUUUUAUUUUACUACCCUGUGAUUUCAAGUGUAUUAAGUUAGUAUUUUAUGAUUUUAAUUUUUUUUUUAUUAUCUAUUUCGGAGUAUAUAAUUUAACGAAAUAUUAAACUACAGAAUACUAAAGUAUGAAAGUGCGAAAUUACAGGAUACUAACUUGAUACACUUAAAACCACAGGUUAAUAAAAUGAGAAAGUUCGAAACCACCGGAGGGGUUUUUGAAGUUUCACCUUAUUAUUAUUUUCUAAUAAGUUUUUUUUUUUAAUAUGUAAAAAAUUUUCUAAAAUAUAUUUUUAUAUUUCAUAAGAAAUUAUAGUAUUUUUGUUU